rnacentral:rRNA from 1 species
AACGAACGCUGGCGGCAUGCCUAACACAUGCAAGUCGAACGAGACCUUCGGGUCUAGUGGCGCACGGGUGCGUAACGCGUGGGAACCUGCCCUUAGGUUCGGAAUAACUCCCCGAAAGGGGUGCUAAUACCGGAUAAUGUCUUCGGACCAAAGAUUUAUCGCCUUUGGAUGGGCCCGUGUUGGAUUCGCUAGUUGGUAGGGUAAAAGCCUACCAAGGCGACGAUCCAUAGCUGGUCUGAGAGGAUGAUCAGCCACACUGGGACUGAGACACGGCCCAGACUCCUACGGGAGGGAGCAGUGGGGAAUAUUGGACAAUGGGCGAAAGCCUGAUCCAGCAAUGCCGCGUGAGUGAUGAAGGCCUUAGGGUUGUAAAGCUCUUUUACCCGGGAUGAUAAUGACAGUACCGGGAGAAUAAGCUCCGGCUAACUCCGUG